CAAGCUAAAAAAUAUAUAAACCGUCGGAUCACCUAGGGAUGAUAAAUCGACGGUCAAAAAUCAAAGUUUGACUGAAGUACGAAUUAGGUUGGAAUGAUUGGCUUUGAUAACGACUUUGACCGUAGAAAAAUUGAAAAAAACAAGAGAGAGAGAGAGAGAGGGGGGGGGAAGCUGGUGGUGUUGUUGGUGGAUUGGUGUCUUUUUCGCAAAUUCCUAUCUCUGUUGAAUGAAGCAGAGGAGAAAGAUUGGAGAGCCAUAGCUUUCUCUCUCUCUCUCUCUUAUUGAUCAAGAAAUUUAGGGAGAGAGACAAAUUAGGGUUUCGUUUCAGAAACCAUAAUGAAUGUCAUGCGUCGCCUCAAGAGCAUCGCUUCCGGCCGCUCCUCUGUUUCCGAUCCUGUAUAGAAAAGUUUGGGCUUUGGUGGUAAUGUGGUGGUGAAAGUGGUUUAGUUAUUCAACAACAGCUAUGGGUUCUUCUUAUUUUGAGGGUUAGAAAUUUGUUGGAGAGAUGCAAAAUAUGGUCAAAGAAUUCAAUGAC